rnacentral:rRNA from 1 species
AAAAAUUAGGUCCUUUUCCAACUUAAUUCUUCGCCUGUUUUUACAAAAACAUGUCUUCUUGAUAAUAUUUUGAAGUCUAACCUGCUCACUGAUAUUAUAUUAAAUAGCCGCGGUAUUUUGACCGUGCAAAGGUAGCAUAAUCAUUAGUCUUUUAAUUGUGGACUGGAAUGAAUGGUUUAACGAGAAAUUAACUGUCUCUUAAUAAUUUUUAGAAUUUAACUUUUGAGUUAAAAGGCUUAAAUUUUUCUUUAGGACGAGAAGACCCUAUAGAUCUUUACAUUUAAAUUUUUAUAUUUUUUUUAGUUAAUCUUUUUAUAUUAAAUUUUAAUGUUUUGUUGGGGUGACAUGAAGAAUAGUUAAACUCUUCAUUAUUAAAUCAUUUAUUUAUGAUUAUUUGAUCCAUAAUUUAUGAUCAUAAGAUUAAGUUACCUUAGGGAUAACAGCGUAAUUAUUAUUGAGAGUUCAUAUCGACAUAAUAGUUUGCGACCUCGAUGUUGGAUUAAGAUUAAUUUUAGGUGUAGUAGCUUAAAAAUUAGGUCUGUUCGACCUUUAGAUUCUUACAUGAUCUGAGUUCAACCGGAAGAAAAAUUUUGAAAGUCUAACCUGC